UGCACAUGAUGAUAUCUACUUCUGGUCCGUGUUUAUGAGGCCCAUGAUCUUAGUGGAAGUUCUGACCGU